rnacentral:rRNA from 1 species
AGGCUCAGGAUGAACGCUAGCUACAGGCUUAACACAUGCAGUCGAGGGGCAGCAUGAACUUAGCUUGCUAAGUUUGAUGGCGACCGCGCACGGGUGAGUAACACGUAUCCAACCUGCCGAUGACUCGGGGAUAGCCUUUCGAAAGAAAGAUUAAUACCCGAUGGCAUAGUUCUUCCGCAUGGUAGAACUAUUAAAGAAUUUCGGUCAUCGAUGGGGAUGCGUUCCAUUAGGUUGUUGGCGGGGUAACGGCCCACCAAGCCUUCGAUGGAUAGGGGUUCUGAGAGGAAGGUCCCCCACAUUGGAACUGAGACACGGUCCAAACUCCUACGGGAGGCAGCAGUGAGGAAUAUUGGUCAAUGGACGAGAGUCUGAACCAGCCAAGUAGCGUGAAGGAUGACUGCCCUAUGGGUUGUAAACUUCUUUUAUACGGGAAUAAAGUGAGGCACGUGUGCCUUUUUGUAUGUACCGUAUGAAUAAGGAUCGGCUAACUCCGUGCCAGCAGCCGCGGUAAUACGGAGGAUCCGAGCGUUAUCCGGAUUUAUUGGGUUUAAAGGGAGCGUAGGCGGACGCUUAAGUCAGUUGUGAAAGUUUGCGGCUCAACCGUAAAAUUGCAGUUGAUACUGGGUGUCUUGAGUACAGUAGAGGCAGGCGGAAUUCGUGGUGUAGCGGUGAAAUGCUUAGAUAUCACGAAGAACUCCGAUUGCGAAGGCAGCUUGCUGGACUGUAACUGACGCUGAUGCUCGAAAGUGUGGGUAUCAAACAGGAUUAGAUACCCUGGUAGUCCACACAGUAAACGAUGAAUACUCGCUGUUUGCGAUAUACAGUAAGCGGCCAAGCGAAAGCGUUAAGUAUUCCACCUGGGGAGUACGCCGGCAACGGUGAAACUCAAAGGAAUUGACGGGGGCCCGCACAAGCGGAGGAACAUGUGGUUUAAUUUCGAUGAUACGCGAGGAACCUUACCCGGGCUUGAAUUGCAACUGAAUGAUGUGGAGACAUGUCAGCCGCAGGGCAGUUGUGAAGGUGCUGCAUGGUUGUCGUCAGCU